rnacentral:rRNA from 1 species
CCUACGGGGGGCAGCAGUGAGGAAUAUUGGUCAAUGGACGAGAGUCUGAACCAGCCAAGUAGCGUGAAGGAUGACUGCCCUAUGGGUUGUAAACUUCUUUUAUAUGGGAAUAAAAUGUUCCACGUGUGGGAUUUUGUAUGUACCAUAUGAAUAAGGAUCGGCUAACUCCGUGCCAGCAGCCGCGGUAAUACGGAGGAUCCGAGCGUUAUCCGGAUUUAUUGGGUUUAAAGGGCGCGUAGGUGGAUUGUUAAGUCAGUUGUGAAAGUUUGCGGCUCAACCGUAAAAUUGCAGUUGAAACUGGCAGUCUUGAGUACAGUAGAGGUGGGCGGAAUUCGUGGUGUAGCGGUGAAAUGCUUAGAUAUCACGCAGAACUCCGAUUGCGAAGGCAGUUCACUGGACUGCAACUGACACUGAGGCUCGAAAGUGUGGGUAUCAAACAGGAUUAGAUACCCGAGUAGUC